GGGGAUAUAGCUCAGUUGGUAGAGUGCUUGCCUUGCAUGCACAAGGCCCUGGAUUCAAUCCCCAGCCCCA
rnacentral:tRNA from 1 species